UGCUGGAGGUAUCAGAAGUGCGAAUGCUGACAUAAGUAACGAUAAAGCGGGUGAAAAGCCCGCUCGCCGGAAGACCAAGGGUUCCUGUCCAACGUUAAUCGGGGCAGGGUGAGUCGACCCCUAAGGCGAGGCCGAAAGGCGUAGUCGAUGGGAAACAGGUUAAUAUUCCUGUACUUGGUGUUACUGCGAAGGGGGGACGGAGAAGGCUAUGUUGGCCGGGCGACGGUUGUCCCGGUUUAAGCGUGUAGGCUGGUUUUCCAGGCAAAUCCGGAAAAUCAAGGCUGAGGCGUGACGACGAGGCACUACGGUGCUGAAGCAACAAAUGCCCUGCUUCCAGGAAAAGCCUCUAAGCAUCAGGUAACAUCAAAUCGUACCCCAAACCGACACAGGUGGUCAGGUAGAGAAUACCAAGGCGCUUGAGAGAACUCGGGUGAAGGAACUAGGCAAAAUGGUGCCGUAACUUCGGGAGAAGGCACGCUGACACGUAGGUGAAGUGAUUUACUCACGGAGCUGAAGUCAGUCGAAGAUACCAGCUGGCUGCAACUGUUUAUUAAAAACACAGCACUGUGCAAACACGAAAGUGGACGUAUACGGUGUGACGCCUGCCCGGUGCCGGAAGGUUAAUUGAUGGGGUCAGCGCAAGCGAAGCUCCUGAUCGAAGCCCCGGUAAACGGCGGCCGUAACUAUAACGGUCCUAAGGUAGCGAAAUUCCUUGUCGGGUAAGUUCCGACCUGCACGAAUGGCGUAAUGAUGGCCAGGCUGUCUCCACCCGAGACUCAGUGAAAUUGAACUCGCUGUGAAGAUGCAGUGUACCCGCGGCAAGACGGAAAGACCCCGUGAACCUUUACUAUAGCUUGACACUGAACAUUGAGCCUUGAUGUGUAGGAUAGGUGGGAGGCUUUGAAGCGUGGACGCCAGUCUGCGUGGAGCCGACCUUGAAAUACCACCCUUUAAUGUUUGAUGUUCUAACGUGGACCCGUAAUCCGGGUUGCGGACAGUGUCUGGUGGGUAGUUUGACUGGGGCGGUCUCCUCCUAAAGAGUAACGGAGGAGCACGAAGGUUGGCUAAUCCUGGUCGGACAUCAGGAGGUUAGUGCAAUGGCAUAAGCCAGCUUGACUGCGAGCGUGACGGCGCGAGCAGGUGCGAAAGCAGGUCAUAGUGAUCCGGUGGUUCUGAAUGGAAGGGCCAUCGCUCAACGGAUAAAAGGUACUCCGGGGAUAACAGGCUGAUACCGCCCAAGAGUUCAUAUCGACGGCGGUGUUUGGCACCUCGAUGUCGGCUCAUCACAUCCUGGGGCUGAAGUAGGUCCCAAGGGUAUGGCUGUUCGCCAUUUAAAGUGGUACGCGAGCUGGGUUUAGAACGUCGUGAGACAGUUCGGUCCCUAUCUGCCGUGGGCGCUGGAGAACUGAGGGGGGCUGCUCCUAGUACGAGAGGACCGGAGUGGACGCAUCACUGGUGUUCGGGUUGUCAUGCCAAUGGCACUGCCCGGUAGCUAAAUGCGGAAGAGAUAAGUGCUGAAAGCAUCUAAGCACGAAACUUGCCCCGAGAUGAGUUCUCCCUGAGACUUAGAGUCUCCUGAAGGAACGUUGAAGACGACGACGUUGAUAGGCCGGGUGUGUAAGCGCAGCGAUGCGUUGAGCUAACCGGUACUAAUGAACCGUGAGGCUUAACCUUACAACGCCGAAG
rnacentral:rRNA from 1 species